CUGACCCUUUGUAAAUAUCCCCCAGGGCCCAGCAAAUACCACAUGCUAAAAAUAGCCCCUGUCCUGAGUGGGCUGGUCGGAGGCACCCGCCAAGGGGGCAGGCAGGCCCAGGGGGCGAGCUCAGCCCGGCUCGCACUGGACACACACCUGUCAAGGUCCCCGCCAGCGGGAGCCCCUUAUCUGUUUGGUGAGGGGCAGGGAUAGGAUCAAGACGCAGCGGGAUUUGUUGCCAGAAGCCAGCAAAGAUGUGGAAAAAACUGGACAGAAGCCCAGUGUCUCUGAGUUCUUGGAAUGAGGAAGCCUGCGCACACGUGGGGUGGAGUGGGUGACAGCCUGUGGCCUGGGUUCCAAGAGCACAGGCCUCAGAGUCAAGAGGAAGGAAGUGAGGGAGAGCCGGCCAAGGACGGAGCCGCCCAGAAAAAGAGGCUGCACAGAGCCCGAAGCUGGCCACUCGUGGUCACACGGAACUGAACAGGGCACAGGAGGUGGGGUGCCUGGGUCACACUCUCCUGAAGAUCACUGUCCUCUGUUCCCUUUGGCUGUAAGAUAAAGGAAGCCUGCACAGAACCACAGACCCCAGGGCUCGGCAGGGCCUCGUCAGCCACUCUCCACCAACCCCGAGAUGCCGGAUGCUUGGAGUUUUGAGUUCAAGUCUUGGCACCCUUCAAUCAUUCUGCACAUGUUUUUUGAGCACCGACUCCACGUCGAACUGAUGGAGGACCUGAUCUAGCAGUGAGCAAAAGACAGAUCGCUGCCAUCACGGGGCUUGCAUUUUAGUUAAGGGAGAUGGGCAAUACACAAAUCAAUAUAUAAGGGCUGCUAAAAACUAAUAAUAAUAAAGCAGAGUAAAGGAAAUAGAGCGUGCAGGUAGGGGGUCAGGAGGUAACACUGGAGCAGAGACCCAAAGCAAGUGACAGGGAGUCAUAGCAGCCGGAGGAAGAGCCUGUCAGGCAGAGGGGGCAGCCAGUGCAAGGGCCCUGAGGCAGGAGCUAGUGUGGUACAGUUGACCAGCCAAGAGGCAGCUGGUGGGCUGGACUGGGGCCAAUGAGGGGAUGGAUGGUAGGAGGGAAGGUUGGGGGCACUGGGUAGCCAGGUCAGGCAAAGGUGGAGGCCCAUGAGGGGCCGUGAGCUCUUACCCCACGUGAGCGGAAGCCACCACGGAGUCGAGAGAGUGAGAGGCCACGGGCUGACUGAGUCUGCCAGUCUGAAACUUUGCCUCCCUGAGCUCUAGUCCUCUUUUGUAAAAGGAACACCUGGGAGCAGUGACCUCACAGGGCUGUGGCAAGUUUUAAAUAAAAUGGUACCUACAAAGGGAUCCGUUUGAAACCUAGGGAUGACUCAGCACGUGGUAGGUGAUAACAGGUUAUUCUCGUGAUCCUCAGUGUGGAGUUCCUUCUAGAGUCACCCCCAGCAGGCAGCCUUCCUGCCUCUGCCUCCCUGGCCCUGGGAACUUUCCAGGAGGGGCUGGGCUUUUCACAAAGCCCGUUGUGCUGGGCCUGCAAUGUUCUCCAAUAUUUCCUCUGAUACGCAGGCAGGCAUCUCCCCGGGAAGUCCUGCAGGGCCAGGCCCUGGCCAGAGCUGACCUGGGCUGUGGGGCCCAGGGACACCGAGGGCGGGACUGCCCACGUGAGUGUGAUGGACGGCAGGAACCGGGCAGAGGCCAGGACAGAGGUGGUAGGUGCAGGGUGUCCAGGGUGGCAUAGGCGGUUGUCACAACUGUCACAGCUUCUCCCUCCUUCCCAGCACCAGCAUCCCCGGGGCAGAUCCAGGGAAGCCUGCCCCGUCUGGCAAUGCUGACCAUCCACUACCUCGCUCAGGCACCCAGAGUAGAAAGGCUCUUCUCACUGCUUCUUGAUCAGAGAUGAAGUCACUGUCCUAUACAAACAGAAGAGGUCUGGGCCUGGCUGGACCCUCUCAAACCCUAGGGUAACCCUGGCCUUCGACCGAAAGCAGCCUAUGGUUGGUGAGGCAGACGCAACUCCGGGCCACACACAGGCCUGCCACGUGUUUGUCCUUCGUAGUAGCUCUCAGUGGAGGAGACUAUGGGUGCUACCCUCAGAGCCUCCAGGCUCUCCCGGAUCUCUAUAUCAGGCCUGGCCACCUAGCCUGCCUUCUGUGGCUUUCUCUUCUGUUCACUCUUCCUCAGGUGACUGCCCCAGGUUACAGGAGCUAUUUGCCUACAGAACAGGAAGUAACUGGAAGUUUACACCCCCUUAGCCAAUGACUAGGGUGCAAGAGAGCGAGGUCCCAACUCCCUUAUCUCUGACGGGGAGGACUCUGAAAUGUAACCUAUACUCCAGAGUCCCCUGUGGGUCAGGCUAAAGCCAUCCUCGGCACUCUUGCUGGCCUCUUCCUCUCCCAUCCUGUUCCUGCUUCCCCAGGUCCCUCUCCAGUCUCCUCCCCAGUCCCCCAGGAGCACUGCCUUAGCAAAUCACUGAGCCGGGGAUAUCCUCUCAGGAUCUGCUUCUGGGGAUCUUGACCUAAGACACCUUCUAAGGUGAUAGUAGGAGGAGGAGUAACAGCUAAAAUUUGUUGAGUGCCUACUCCGUGCAAAAUAUCGUCUUAAGUGUUUUCCAGUGUUAACCUCACAACAACCCAGGGAAGCUGUCACUCCCAUUAUCCCCAUUUCGCAGAUGAGGAAACCAAGGUACGGGGAGAAGAAGUCAGUUGCCACAGAGAUGCUAUGGUUAUCCUCGUACAGGUAAGUGGCAGAGUCAGGAUUCUUAGGCGGUACCCCUUCUAGUAAGGCAGGGGUCCACACAGACACACACACUUUGGUGACGGGGCAUUCAGGGCUAAGGGACCAAAUCACAGCAGACACGGUGUGUGCCACUGGAUAGGCAUUUGGAGAAUGUCCUGAGACACGGCAUGGCUACAGACCCAGGACAGAUCACCCCACCAGGUCAUGAGUUAUCUGUCCUUAUGGGUUCAUCAAGGGCAAUCUUGGGGAUAUCUUGUCCAAUCCUUUCUUCACAGUCAUGGGGACCGGGCCCAGGGCGACCGAUCGCGUGAGGACAGCCCCCUUGGGUCUCCAGAUGUUCCACCAUUGCUUGACACAUCCCAUGCUCAUAAAAAGCCUGCUGAAUAAAUACACGAAUUACUUCAGGACUAAAGGUGGGGCCACAAACCGAGGCUCCACAAAGCCAGAUUUUUGGUGGAGGAAACCAAAUAUUCACAUACAAAUGCACAUUAAAUUGAAUCAACCAAAAAUGCUGUUCCCAAUAAUGUCUGAACAAACACAAUCGUAAUCAAAUCCAGAACCAUGAGCACUAGGGCCCCCACCCUCGGCUACUUGCUUUGCCAGAAGGCACGGGGGGGCCCCCAGACAGGCAGGACAGAGAGACCCUCUAGCGACGCAGUCUGCCUGGGCUGGGGUCUUGAGGAGGCCCCGGGGAACGUCCUGACCAUCGGGAUCCCAGGAGGAGGGAGUGUUCAGCAAAGGGCAGUUGCAUUUUACAUUCUCAACUAAACAACCAAAUGCCCUCUGUAAGCCAGCUCCACUCCACCCCCUCCCGGGCCCCCGCCCCAGCUCGACUGGUCACGGGGCCACAGACACAACCAAGGCGAGGGCCCUUUCAGUCCCAGAAUCAGAAAGGAGGAGAACCCAGCCAGGCCCACUAGUGAAAGAAUAUUGCUCUCUAUCUGGAUCCCUAUUGCCACCUCCCGAGGUCUCCCAAAGGGGCUUCCCCUGUGUAUGCGUGCAGGCGGCCCUCCUUCAUUCAAUGUACCCUUUGUCACAGCCCCUUUCAAAAGCAAGCUAUUCAGACAGGGCGGCAAACUUUGGGACGAUUCAUUACCAGGCUGGGCAGCAGCUGGCCGGCCGACUCCCUCCUCUCCCCAUCUCCAUGCUUCCUCGCAGUGGGAGUGGCCUGUGGGGCCGGCCUGAGUGGGACCCCCCCCCCUCCAGGGCUUCCUGCCAGUGGGGGGACAAGACUCAAGCUGGGCACGACUGACAGGGCUCUCAGGGCUUCGAGUGGUGUUGCUGCCACGCCACGCACUCUGAGAAGUGUGCCUCCCAGGCACCAGGGAGCGAGGCAGGGGCAGAUACUCACUGCCCAGAGAACAGGCAGGAUCAUUUCCUUGGGGCUGCAGAAGUCUAUGAGGGCCUGCUACCCAUCACUCUGAUUCCCCUUCCUAGGGCAGCCGGCAGAGAAGAGGGGCCUGUGCCCAGCACAAUGCCGGGCACACAAUGGUUCUUCAACAGAUACUACCGAGUAUCUGAGUGGGUGGCCUUUGCCCACUGACACUGGCCCCCCGGGAGAGCGACUCGGACCAGAGGCUCCAGGAUAGGAAAACCCAUCUGUGCUCAGGGGCCCCAGCCAGAGGCCGGAAGCGACCCUCCCUCCCCCUCUUGAUGUGCCCUCCUGAGUCCUCUCCCCACAUCCUGGGCCCUGGCCUAUGACUGCACUUCCAUUCCACAUCACCCCCCCCACCGGCCCCCAGCCACCCCACCCCAUCCUCUUCUCGUUUUUCUUUCUGAUUCCGCAUUCCUUCCGUCUCUUCUCCCUGCUAUCCACUCAACAGACACUGUCUGCACUCAUACACAGUGCUGGGCCCUGUGGGAACAGAAGGAAAAGGCCAUGG